rnacentral:lncRNA from 1 species
AGUCGGGUUCCUAACCCGCUCAGCCACAACGGAAACUCCUGGCUCAUUUUUAUAACACUGUUUAGCGUGAACUGAAACCCUGCUGGGGUCACCUCUUCCAGCCUGGAAGCAAACCCAGGAAUCUGCGGUGCCUGCCACAAGCUGCUCUGGCCCCAGGGUUCUGGGCAUCAGGAAGGGAGCCAGGCGGGGCUGGGGAACAGCUGUUGACUUCCCCCAGCAGGUGGGUGCUGCUUCCAUGGCGACCAGGCAGAUGCAGAUGGAUUCCUUAGGCAGGGUGUGGGGACUUGAGGGGGUGCACGCAAGGGCUGGAACGGAGAAAGGGAAUUGGGGGUUGUCUCUCUCCUCUAUAUAAUAGCCUCCUUCUGACAAGGAGCUUCUGUUCUUUUCCACUGGAAAGCUUUUAAGAACGCUGAAAAGGACAGGCAAUUACAGGAAGGUUAGGUGCGCCUGAUUGGAUGUUGUUACAGAUCACUCAUUGUCAUACACGGCGUUUGGAAAGGCGGCCAUCGGGGACUGAUUGCCGUUUAGGGAAGCAAAGUCAAUGAAGGACUUUCGGCACGGAAAAAGAUAUGAUGGAAUAUACAGAUCAACGCUUUGGCGCUGGCGAGGCAGAUGGAUUGGAGGUGUCGAGAGACGGAAAGGCCAGUUAGGAGACUAUUGACACAUCCAGUUUUAUAUCUAUGAGAAAAGUCUUGGAUAGCACUAAAGAUUUGGAAACCAUACAUAGCUGGGUGUUAAUUAAAACCAUGGGAGUGGAUAUUAUAUUGUUAGAAAAGAACAAAUGAAGACUGUAGAAAAAAAGAAGGUGGAUGAUGGACAGUAAGAGACACUGAGAUGCGGGUGCAGGGGGAGGGUCCUGCAAUCACAGAGGAGCAGAGAAAGAGUUCCUGCUGCAGCUCAGCAGGCUGAGAACCCAACUGGUAUCCAUGAGGAUGCAAGUUCGAUCCCUGGCCUCGCUCAGUGGCUCAAGGAUCCGGCAUUGCCAUGAGCUGUGGUGUAGGUCGCAGAUGUGGUUCAGAUCCCAAGAUGCUGUGGCUGUGGUGUAGGCCAGCUGCUACAGCUCUGAUUGGACCCCUAGCCUGGGAACCUCCAUAUGCCGCAGGUGUGGCCCUAAAAGGAAAAAAUAAAACAAAACAAAGGAGCAGAGAAGUGGAAGAGCCAGGAAGGACUUGCACCACACAAAGCCAAAAAAAUUCAUAAGUGGCCACUGUGACUUUUUACACCACUGUUAGCAGCCUAGUGUAUCUGAAGUUGCCCUGAUUAAAAGACUCUUUCUCGAUAUGUUUACCAAGCCAUAUUUCUGGAUCUAGCAGGCCACCAAUCAGCAUGGAUGCCAGUUCUGUCUUCCUCCAUGAGGUUUGCUUUUAUUUUUUAAUUUUUUGGCUACACCUGCGACAUGUGGAAGUUCCCGGGCCAGGGAUCAAACACAUGCUACAGUAGUGACCCAAGCUGCUGCAGUGACAAUGCAGGAUCUGCAACCCACUGUACCACCUCUGAGGCUUACUUUUAAAGUUCCACAUCAGGGCUCUCAAAUUCAAACUUUCCAGACAAAGCUGGGAGCAAAAGUGUGUGAAGUAGGUUGGGCAUGAGAUAACACUAUAGAUAGUGGGGUCUGUGGGCACCUGUUAAAGAUGUCCAAAUGGCUUAAAAGCAAGAGAUGGAGCAGACUGGAUUUGGAGGAACACCACACACGUUGACCUCUGACCUGUAGAGCAACUGUGCGGCAAUGUACAGUGUAUUUACAGAUUGCUUCAUUUGACUCCAACCACGGCAUUUGGAGGUAGGUAUUACCAGUGUGCCCAUCUUACAGUACACUCGCUCUGUCUUCAAGACAUCGAGUGACUUGCAUAAGGUCUUAGAGCCAAUGUAUCCUUUAAUGAACCCAGGCCUUGGCCCUGACCCCGAUUCUAUUCUCUCUUCCACACCACAUCAUGGCGGCAUCCACAGUGAGUGCAGGGAGAAAAAGGUGAGAAGUUUUUCUGAGCAAAGGAUGAGCUAUUUUUGUUACUGAAUCUAAAAAUACCAGAAUCCAAGCGACCUACAAAAAACACCAAGAAGCCCGCCUCUGGCCAAGUUCCAAAUGUCAGGGCAUAGAACAGGGAGGAAGUGACACCAGGCAGCGAGGGCUCCUGCUGUCAGGGCAGCCCUGGUGCACAUCUGUCUGAAACUUCUGGAGUGAGCCUAGCCAGAGAGGCUGCAG